rnacentral:ncRNA from 1 species
CAUUGGUGAGAAUCCAAUGCCCCGAAAACCCAAGGUUUCCUCCGCAAGGUUCGUCCACGGAGGGUGAGUCAGGGCCUAAGAUCAGGCCGAAAGGCGUAGUCGAUGGACAACAGGUCAAUAUUCCUGUACUACCCCUUGUUGGUACGGAGGGACGGAGGAGGCUAGGUUAGCCGAAAGAUGGUUAUAGGUUUAAGGACACAAGGUGACCCUGCUUUUUCAGGGUAAGAAGGGGUAGAGAAAAUGCCUCGAGCCGAGGUCUGAGUACCAAGCGCUGCAGCGCUGAAGUAUGAGCCCCGUGGACUAGCGAUUGCUUCUCCACGAGAGGUGGCCUCAGAGAAGAUCUGCAGUUA